rnacentral:rRNA from 1 species
CUGAUGGUCCUGGACGGUGGACGGUGGAUCACUCGGCUCGU